CCAUAUUUGGUGUGAGCAGGUGAACGCGAAGGCGGAGGAUGAGACUCGGUUGUGGAGAAAAGGAGGUAUAUAGUCUCCUGCUGAAAUGUGGAUGCUACACUUCAUUGAAGACAUCAUUCCCGGAUUCUUGAAGAGAAAGCAUCCUAACUGACAGAAUGGCUGAAGAUGAAAUUGCUGCACUGGUGGUUGACAAUGGUUCAGGCAUGUGCAAGGCUGGUUUUGCAGGGGAUGAUGCUCCCCGUGCUGUCUUCCCCUCCAUUGUUGGAAGACCCAGACAUCAGGGUGUGAUGGUGGGCAUGGGACAGAAGGACAGCUACGUGGGAGAUGAGGCCCAGAGCAAGAGGGGCAUCCUGACUCUGAAGUACCCCAUCGAGCACGGCAUUGUUACCAACUGGGACGACAUGGAGAAGAUCUGGCAUCACACCUUCUACAAUGAGCUGCGUGUGGCCCCUGAAGAGCAUCCCGUCCUGCUCACAGAGGCCCCACUCAACCCCAAAGCCAACAGGGAGAAGAUGACCCAGAUCAUGUUUGAGACCUUCAACAGCCCAGCCAUGUAUGUAGGUAUCCAGGCCGUGCUUUCUUUGUACGCAUCUGGUCGCACCACAGGAAUCGUGAUGGAUUCCGGGGAUGGCGUUAGCCACACGGUGCCCAUCUACGAGGGCUACGCUCUUCCCCACGCCAUCCUGCGUCUGGACCUGGCCGGACGUGACCUCACGGACUACCUGAUGAAGAUCCUGACUGAGCGUGGCUACAGCUUCACCACCACGGCCGAGAGGGAGAUUGUGCGCGACAUCAAGGAGAAGCUGGCCUACGUGGCGCUGGACUUUGAGCAGGAGAUGAAGACCUCUGCCUCCAGUUCCUCUCUGGAGAAGAGCUACGAGCUGCCUGAUGGACAGGUCAUCACUAUCGGCAACGAGCGCUUCCGGUGCCCUGAGACCAUGUUCCAGCCGUCCUUCAUUGGAAUGGAAAGCACUGGAGUGCAUGAGACCACCUACAACUCUAUCAUGAAGUGUGAUGUGGACAUCAGGAAAGACCUGUAUGCCAACACUGUUCUCUCAGGUGGAACCACUAUGUUCCCUGGCAUCGCUGAUAGAAUGCAGAAGGAGAUCAGUGGCUUGGCACCUCCUACUAUGAAGAUUAAGAUCAUCGCCCCUCCAGAGCGUAAAUACUCUGUGUGGAUUGGCGGUUCCAUCCUGGCCUCUCUCUCCACCUUCCAACAGAUGUGGAUUUCCAAGCAGGAAUACGAGGAAUCCGGCCCGUCUAUCGUCCACCGCAAAUGUUUCUAAAGCCUUGACUCUUAACCUCGGUGUUACUCCUUUCAGGGAGUCUGUUAUUUCAGAUGGCUCUCCUGUCCAGAAGCCAACACCUUGCCCCUGUCCCCUAAGCAUUUGUGUGGCUCUAAAAUGAUCAGAUGAGUAUCAGUGACUUCCCCCUAUCCUAACCGGUAGAGAUAAAGCCAUAUUGUUUCAGUUCUACAUGGUGUCCUGGGGGGAGUGACAGGGUGGUUUCUGGGUAGGCUCAGUGUUAGGGUUGUGACAUUCUGCCUUGUGUUGUAUUUGUUACUAUUAGUCUUGUAUGUAACAUCUGCUACUGGGCCAUUAGAAUAAAAGUUCACUGUAAUGUGAUACUCUGUGUAGUCUAUUUUCAACAUUAAGUCUUGUAAUGUGUUUGACACUACUUUUUUAAAUUUACUGAUCAUUUCAGGGAAUGAUGUGAUUUGUAAACACACUUAAUGUAUUUGUCAUUGGCUGGAACCCACUGCAGGUUAAAUCAAAUGGUUUUCUCAUUGUUAAAUUCUCUUGGUGAA